ACAACGGAGAGUUUGAUCCUGGCUCAGGACGAACGCUGGCGGUGUGCUUCACACAUGCAAGUCGAACGAGGUAGCAAUACCUAGUGGCGGACGGGUGAGUAACGCGUGGGAAUCUGCCUUUAGAU
rnacentral:rRNA from 1 species